UUAAUAAACUCGUAAACACAAAAUCAGUCUAAAUUGAGAAAUCCGUCUACUCAAAAAUGUAGCCGAAAUUGUUGACAUUUUCUUCCUGGCACAUUGGGAAUAUUUAGGAAGUCGAAUUAACAAGGAUUAAAUUUGUUUUGUUUUUUUUGAUGGUGGACAAAUGAGAAUGACAAAAGGGCUUCAUUAGACUCAGGUGACAAUUUGUUGAAUGUGGUCCCUACGUCUUUGUGUUUCCAACGAUAACAGAGGAGGGAGUCCUUCGAAGCCACAGAACGUGCCUAACGGCAGAGGAAAAACGACAGGGAUGCUCGUCGCUGGCCGCAUGGCGCUUCGCUGGCAGGUCUUCCGCAAACAUUCCUCCCCUCCCGAUCGUGUCAUUCCCGCAGCCGGCCUCCCUGCCCGGGAGAGUGAGGGGCUUCUGGACGGUUGGGGUGGCCCACCACAGCCACUAAGCUGGUCCCGAGCUCUGUGCUUUUACAAGUCUAGCUCCCC